rnacentral:rRNA from 1 species
AAGAGACAGCAGCAGCCGCGGUAAUACAGAGGGUGCGAGCGUUAAUCGGAUUUACUGGGCGUAAAGCGUGCGUAGGCGGCUUCUUAAGUCGGAUGUGAAAUCCCUGAGCUUAACUUAGGAAUUGCAUUCGAUACUGGGAAGCUAGAGUAUGGGAGAGGAUGGUAGAAUUCCAGGUGUAGCGGUGAAAUGCGUAGAGAUCUGGAGGAAUACCGAUGGCGAAGGCAGCCAUCUGGCCUAAUACUGACGCUGAGGUACGAAAGCAUGGGGAGCAAACAGGAUUAGAUACCCGGGUAGUCCCUGUCUCUUAUAC